rnacentral:rRNA from 1 species
UUUAAUUGAAGAGUUUGAUCAUGGCUCAGAUUGAACGCUGGCGGCAGGCCUAACACAUGCAAGUCGGGCGGUAACAGGGAGAAGCUUGCUUCUCUGCUGACGAGCGGCGGACGGGUGAGUAAUGUA